AUGACAAAUCAGUGUAAAUUAUUCAUUGAAUUGAAACACAAUUCAAAAAUAAAAACACUGAAAUUCACAAAAUGUGUUCAAAUAUUUGCAGAAAGCGGCAUUUGUACAGCAUGUUCUUACUUCUAGAGCAAUAUUUUUCACUUUAAUCAGCCUUCUCUGUCCACAAGAGCGGGGGGGAAGCAAGCAUUGCUCCUCUUAGCUGAACCAAAGCAUUAUAAAACCAGGAUCACAUAAUGGAGUUAUGUUCUAAACCAAAUUUUUAGCAGGACCUAAAGUAACACACAUUCCUAGCCCCUUUUCACCUACAGUGGAAAGGGGCUUACCCCUCUAAUAUUAUCUGGCCUUUGUCAGUCUUAAUUGAGGUUUGGGCUUGCUUUAAUUGGCUUUUUAAUGAUUUGUGAAUGGGAGCUGCUGUUUAUGGGUUAAGUGCAUCUUAAUCAGAGCUUUAAUCCAGUCAUUAACAGAGAAACAUGAGGUGUCGAGAGCGGCAAGGAGAGGUUGAUAAUUGAGAGGCUGCUUCUUUGCUCCCCGUGAUGUGUGUAUGUAUGUGUGUGUGUGUGUGUGUGUGUGUGUGUGUGUGUGUGCUUGCUUCAACUAUAUUUUAGAGGAAAAAGCUUCCCGUUGGUGAUGUCAGUAAAAUUUUUCAUUGCACCAUAAAAGACAAACACUUGCUGUACAUAUUUUGCCACAUCCUUAUAUUUUUGCUCUGAUUAUUUCAGAGGUAAAAAUGUAAGGACUCAAUGAUGAAAAACACCGGGUGAAAUAAAAAUCAGCAAAGAACUUUUCACAUUUUCUUUAUCUCAGUACAUAUAUUUGUUUCCCCACUGAUAAUAUUCUACGUAUCAAUACUGAAAGUAAAACUAGAUUGGUUUUGUCCGCCCUCCCCUUUCCUCUCUGCUGUUCAGCUGUCACAAUUUCUGAGUUUUUCUCACUGUAUAUUUUAGCACCUACCCCGCGUGAGGCCUGUGUGCUUCUAUACCCCCACUCUCGUCCCCUUCUAAUGCGCGCACACACGGCGUGGAAACAACGAGCCUAUAUUGAAUAAACAUACUGCUUUUAGAUAGGUUCCUAAUUUGCAUCAUCCUUUGCAACGUGUGUUUUUCACCAAUUUUAGUGUAAUUUAUUACAGACUUACACACACCUUCUGAUCCUAUAAAAGCACUGUCAAUUGCUCCCAAACCUUCAGUGCUAGUCACCCUCUUACAGCAGAUCAUCGACAAAUAAAAAUCCCAAAAAUAGCCCACUCAUACUCUGCUGGUGGCAAAGCACCUGAGAAAAUUAGGCUACCAGAGAGGCAGUGCAUUUGGAUCUUCUGAGGAUUAAGCAAGUUUUAACUGUCACCGACUAACCAGUCAAGUCAAAACAGUUUAAAAAAAGGUUUCUUUUAAAAGAUUAGAAUCGCAGUAAUUUGAACCCGGAUCCAAAAUCGCCAAUAAUUCUAAAACCUGGCCCAUGUUUUAACCCCCCUUUUUUCGUACAUACUUCCGCUUUAUGCAACACCGUGUCCGCUUCAUUGUGUCACUACUGUGCAUAUUUGUGUAUUAAUAUAAAGUGCAAAGAUGAGGUCCCGAUGACGGGACGAAUACUGUGGCCCGAGUUUCACCACUAAUCGACUCUCCCUGUGAAAGUGUGAAAACAUUUAGAGGCCAUUAACAGCACAAGAUGAUACUUCCUCCCAGGUCAGCAGAUCAAAGGCAGCUGUCAGCCCCGACAGGCAACGUCUCUCUGAUGUUGACGACUCGCCCUCAAGUAUUCAUUUCAGUCCGUGCAUGCAUACAAAGAUUAAGACUGGAUCUGCAGGAUACUGAGGCAUAUUAACUAUGGGGCUGAUAGCGUGAUGACAUAAUGGUUCUCUUUUUAAGAGUCCAGACGGUGCUUUUGUGCAUUUAGAAGUCACAAAUGGGAUUUUUCUUUUUUCUUUUUCUUUUUUACCUCGAGCGUACACACAAACACACUUGCUUGCACGUACGCACGCACACACGCUAGCACACAUACAUGCUUACUUAUGAGAUGUUACAAAAACUUCUCUUUCUUCUCUCCAUUAAAAAACUAUCGAUCUUUUGCUUUGGCUUCUCUACUUGAUGGGUUUUUUCCCCCCCAUCAUAAUGGAAAGUCUCCCUGGCCAUUUCUUCAGCCUAUUCUUCAUUUGGAGUAAUUAUAGAUGGAGAGGUAAAAGAUGUUUUUUUUCCCUCCCCCCUCUCUUUUCUUUUCUCCUUCUUGCCUAUCUUUCUCUCCCCUGCGUGCAUUCAGAGGAGCUCUCACCACUGCAUUCUUAUUAGGGACAUGUCUGAAAGGCUCUCCGCAGCAUGUGGUGUCCUCUGACCAUCCGUUAUGGCUGCUUUUUGUUGGCAUUAACAAGCCGAGCAGCCAAGGAUAGCUUUUCAACAGGUACAAACUUUUCCUUUUAGAUAAUUAACUGCAUUCAGACACUCAGCGCAGUGUAGGCAAUGUGGGUGCAGAAGCCCAGAGAGGAUCAUAUUUGAGGGGAAAAAAAGGAACAGAGAAAGGAAAGGGAGAUGGAGGAAAAAAGAAAAAAAAACUUCAUCAAAAGACAAGAUGUUCUCUUCGGUGUUGUUUAGUGCUAGUGGAUUCUAUACCAAACUCCUAUUCAAAUAGUGUGGUCUGCUUUUCUGCUCCCCUCCUCGUCCUCGUGUCUGUCCUUUUCGUCUUCUUUAUCAAGAUGGACCGUGAGAUGAGGGAAAACUUUGGUCAUUGUAGAAUGGUCAAAGGUGUGCUGCCUUAAUGAAUGGAAGAAACAAGAGAAGGGCUUUCCCUCGUUCCUCUUUGCCUCGCCGCAAAAAGCCACAGGAUGCCUCCUGAAGAAGGCCUCCUUCAUCCAUUGCCGUCUCGUCUCUUGUUAAAAGGGGCAUAAAGCGAAGGCAGAGGGGAAAAGUAAUUUUCUUUUUCCCGUCUAUCCAUUCUUUUGAUGCAGUGAAAAAGCCAGAUGUGUCUCCUGUAAUGGAAAAGAAAGGGGGGAAAAAAACUUUCAGCAAUUCCACUUUACAAAUUUUCACUGGACAGGACUGAAGUAUCAGCUAUCAAAUGUUGUAUUCACCACAUGUGAUGUGCUUCACUACAGCACUGUUAUGCAAAACCAGGGCCGACGGGUCUCUUUUCUCCCGUUGUCACCUCUUUUGUUUAAAGUGUUUAUUAGAAGUAUAAGGGAGAUGAAGCAGACAGGGCAACAGCGACGCCUUUGCUGACCUGGCGGCAGAGAUCGCUGGUUUAGGAUGACUCUCUCCUCCUUCACCAUCCAUCCGUAGCACUUCCUCCGCUCACCUGCCCCUCCCUCAGUCCCUCUGACCUCCAUUCCCAACUCUUCUGGCUGAUUACUCCUAAUGUAAUUUUAAUUAAAAACUGUGGUGUCAAAGGGUUUAGCCUGCCUGAGAAGCGGGUGCAGAUUGUGGCACAGUGGCAGACCCCUUCACUUGCUUGAGAGGAAAUGCAUCCUGACAUUGCUCGGGUGGUGCCAACACAACUAGAGCCAAGGUAAAAUAAAAAGGCUUUCUGUUUUACUUAAAUAUUGUAUACGCUUAUGCUGCAGGGGUGCAAAAGAAUCCUGAAUCUUUUCUUUUACUUAUUUGUUUCAUUUGGAUUGCAUACUGUAUUGGAUUGUGUAAGUUAUGUGAACGUUCUUUUACACACAAUACACCAGUAAUUCUCCAUCCCUGUAGGCCUGAUAUGUAUUAAACUGUUAUCCAGGCAUACAUACAUACAUACAUAUAGUCUGGAUACAAGGCAUGGACAGUUUACAAAUUACUCAAUUAUUCAAUUAAUCAAUUUGUUUUUCAGUCUUUAUUUCUGCAGAAA
ensembl:lncRNA